CCCAAUUCCCUGGGAUUCCUGGGGGAAAAAUAUCCUGGAAUUUUCCGGGGGGUGGAGUCGGCGCGGGCAGGUCCUGGCAGGUCACACCUGUGCCCUUUGACCCCCGUUCAGGUCCUGGCAGGUCACACCUGUGCCCUGUGUGCCCCUGUCAGCUCACACCUGCACCUGCCAGGUGCUCACAGCUCACACCUGCGUCUCUCAGGUGCUCACAGCUCACACCUGUCCCUGCCAGGUGCUGUCAGCUCACACCUGUGCCCUUCAGUCCCCACAGAUCCUGGCAGGUCACACCUGUGCCCUUUGGUCACUGUUUAGUUCCUGUCAGCUCACACCUGUCGCUGCCAGGUGC
rnacentral:lncRNA from 12 species